UCAAUAAAGUGUCUGUGAGGCAAAUCGGGUAACAAGUCUGGGCUUGUCUUCAAGUCACCUGUGGUGUCUAACUGGAUAGCUAGAUCUUCAUUAACUUACAGAGGGGACGAAACCGAAUCAAGCCAAUUAACGCAGGCAAACAGGAGCCAUUAAAUAGCAGCCCGAUAGCGCAUGUCGCUGCACACCCAGUCCGGUUGUAUAACGAGGCUUCACCUCAGCUGAACUUGACACAUCUGGUUCAUCGGCGGCGAAGGACGCGCGCCGCAGUCUGCAGCCUGUGCCCCCACUGAACCGAGCUGGAUGGCUGCGGAGAGACACAGAGAGGGGGGGACAACUCUUUCGUGGCCCGGUAGCCGCUCACGGAGACUGUCUCCUAGCACAUUCAACAUGACGAUUUGUUUUCUACUUCUCAGCCUACAAAUAAGCUAUGGCUUUGUGCUUUUUUAUUUCCGUUUUUUUUGGUUCCCAGAGACGACGAGCCACCGUAUAGAAGAUAUAAAGCCCGCCGACUUGGAGUUGGACACCCCGGAGGAAGAUACCAUCCAACUUGAACUCGAGACCUGUCGGGCAAGUGAGGACACAAGUAGACGUGGAUCCACAAGACUUCAAAUACUGCAAUACAGAGAGGAUAUGUGGACAUACUGUGUGCAGCCACAGAGGGAUCCAGCACAAUGAACGCCGGAGAUUUCGGCGCUUUACCCCAGAUAGCUGAUGACUGAUGUUUGUGCCAGUUGCCUUCAAAGUCUCAGUGGGUAAGUCAAAGAGUGUGUGUGGGUGUGGAGGUAAGUGUGUGUAUGCAUUUAUGCCUGUGUAUGUGUUUCUAUGAGACAAACGCCACAGCGACUUUUGUGUGUAAAGUCUGGGUGUUGUUUUCUUCAGGGCUACAUUACUAUCCAGAGAGAGGAGGCUUAACUAAAUAUAGGCAAACCAGGGGGGUAACGUGGCAUGAGCUUUGAAUUUCAGACGGAACUGAGCUACUCUCUUCUGGUGCGUUCUUACCUGCAGUUUUGCAGUCCAGGUCGGCCUUUUGUGUAUGUGAAAGAGAGACGGUUUUGGAGGGAGCAGAGAGGGACUAGUGCUGUAAUGUUGGGCCGAGGGCCAGACAAGGCCUGCUACACAAGGCCGAGCCCCACCACAACGCUCCCCCCCUCUCUCUCUAUCGCUAUCUCUCUCUCUCUCUCUCUCUCUCUCUCUCUCUCUCUCUCUCUCUCUCUCUCUCUCUGUGUCUCUCUCCCCUUUUCUCUCCUGGUCAUCUAUUAGAAAACUAUUAACAGCGAUUCUCACAUUAAGUUUUCUCAUUAAAACCUCAUCUUAGUGAAUAUGUGCAAGGUUCCUGGUUUGUAAUAGGUUUAACAUUUGAAAACGGGUCAUUGCUGACACGUGGCCACAUGUAGCUUCGAUACAGCUCGAACAGGCCUUUUAGACAUACCUGUUAUUGUGCUUUGUAACUAAUGUGGCUCAAAUAAAGCGUACGUUUUCAUUUUCUUUUUCAUUUCCUUUACAUAAACAAGAAAAAUGCUUCAGGGAAUUAAGCUGUAGACAUUUCUCUUAUUCGAUUAAGCCGUUUGAAGACGCAAUUAAAUCCAAAGCUAUGUAACUUACAUACACGUAUUUGGGUGGUGUAAGAAUUAAUAAAAGUUGAAUUGUCUUUAAUAUUAGUAACACACCUGCUUUAUCCCUCAGGAAGAAUACCAACACUAAUUUUGUCUGUAUUAUAUCAUAUUUUCCACAUAAUUAAAAAACUCAAUAUGCCACACCCCUCACUGAUGCCUUCUACUAAGGCAUCUUUUAAUUAUCGCCCAUGAAUCAGUUUUUUGAAUUAGCGCUAAUUUAAAUUUCUUUCCACAUUGCCUGUUGAUAUGGCUUAAUGUUGAACACCUCAAGGCACAUCAGAGUCUACGAUGACCAAUAGGUAGGAGUGGAGGCAGCGUGAGUCAUCACAGAAAACUCCAGUCAUCCCACCUACGUCCUACGUUUGACAGACAUAGAUCUGCCACUCUCGUACUACAGGGCCUGGCGCGCCUGCCGCGAGCUCCGCCAUCACUGUAAAGCCAGCAGGAAACCCCGACUUCGCUUGCCGCAUUCCGAACCCUUCUUCUGAGACCUUCAGCCCGGGAAAUUAUGAGCUAGUACAUCAGCAUUUGGAGAAGGAACACGUCAUUGCUGAACCCCAUCGGCUAAUAAGAUGCAGCAGUAAAAACUGCAGCAGAAUCAAAUGAAGGAUGUAAUUGUUUUUAAAAAAAAAUAUUUUUCCUGCUCUUUUCUAUUUCUUUCCUUUCUACUUUAUUCAUCUAGCUAACACACAUAGAAAUAAAAGGUAAUAUUUGCAGAUAUUUGCGGCGAGUUGUGCUGCUCUUCACAAUCAAACGCCCUGGAGGGCAAAGGGGAGAAACAUGCUUUAAUACACUAUUAAUAACUUGGAACCUGUCAAUCGUUUAAUUCACUUUUGAAAAACAUUAAACAUGUUUUAAAAUUCCUUCUGACAUGGGCAUUUAUGUCAUACAGGAAAGACAUACAGUUUACUUGAGACGCAAAAAAACAAACCCGUUUUGACAAAAUACAUAUUUCUACGCAAAACUGGCAGUAAGUCAGUUUAUUGCGAGAUUUUAUACAACUAUUUUUUUUAAAGGAUUUCCUGUGCUUAAAAUGGCCUCACCUUUAAAUUGAAAAUGAUAAACCACUGAGGACCCCUGCAUUGUGUUUUUUAAUGAAAAAAGUGAUAGUGAGAUUUUGCCUUAAUAUUUAAUCAGCGAGACAGAUUUAUACAGGAAUUGAUAUUGGUUGUUACAGAAUGUUAGAGAACAGCAAAACUGAAGGUAAUGUGAAAGCUAACAUAAAGACCAUCACACUACAUCGUGAAUAAGACACACAGGACGUGUUUAUGCACAAUUGCGCGCACACACACACACACACACACACACACACACACACACACACACACACACACACACAGGCAAACCCCCAGACACAUUUGGUGCUACGUACCCCACAAUGAACCCUGGCUUUUAACAUGAAUGGGGUUCCCACGCCUCUCCCAAGGAGUGCAGGGCACAGUCUCCUCCUCUGAGCAUUCACACACACACAAACACACGCACAAUGCACACACUACGGAUGGCCACACAGUCUCACUCAAACACACAUAGGUGCUUUUGAGUAUAAUACAGAGGCACACACACUUGCAGUGAAAAGGACACAUUUUAAAAGGCACACAGACAAAUAUAGAUUAUUAUUCAGAGCACUCACAGCUAUGAUGAUCAUGUCAAUUUUUAAGAUGGAGUGAGACACAGCUAUCUUUAUUGCUAGCGCUUCAGUAAUUUGGCAUAGAAAGCAGCUUUUAAUUUGUUAAGCAGCAAACAGGAAGGUAAGUGAGGAAUGAGACGUAUUUGGGGUGUUUUACUUUGGUUACAUUUCAGUUACACCUCCAGAUUUUUUUUGUGGGUGGGGUGGGGGGGUGUCAGUCGUAGGGUUUAGCUUUGCAGGGAGAAUUUAAAUGAAGCAGAAACAAAAGUUCGUGGGAAAAUCUAAAAUUUCAAUAUCUAAGGAUUCAGCAACACAAAGUCCUUGUGUGUGUGUGUGUGUGUGUGUGUGUGUGUGUGUGUGUUAAAUUAAAUAAGGGAUCUAUUUUAAUAUUUAUUUUUAUAUCAUUGUAUAAUACACUACGCUGUUAGAUUAGUUGUUUUCUUUUUCGUGGAAAAAUAUGUGCGUAAUAUAUACAAUAUAUAUUUAUAUAAAAUGACAUUCGCUUUAACAUUGCAUUGUGUGUGUUAGUGAGUGAGUGAGUUGCAUAGUAUAGUUAAAAUUUUAACUAUAAAAAAAAAAAUUAUUUGAUGCUUGUUUAUUUCUUCCAUUAUUGCCUCUUUUAUUUUUUAUUUUUAUAUUAAGCAUUUUUGAAAAUGUCAGCACAUUAUUUUUAGAAACUACAAUUGGAUUACAAAAAAAGGCUAAUUACAGAAAAUCUAAAUACAUGCUUUAUUUGUAGUAAAUAACAUACAGUAAUAUAAUUCCCACUGGUAACUUUCUGGAGCGUAUGCUUCCCUGAGAGAUUAAUCUUAAGCUUCUUCAACACUGGCCAGUAUACAGUAUGAUAAUACUGAUUUUCCAGUCUAAAUUCGGCUGCAGUAUUCUGAGCCAUGAUCACUCUAACAUAUGUCACAUCAGCCUUAAUGAUACAGUCAAGUAGCUGCUUGGCAGGUUUAUGACCUGAGGGCUACAUGGACACCUUGGUGUGUGUGUGUGUGUGUGUGUGUGUGUGUGUGUGUGUGUGUGUGUGUGUGUGUGUGUGUGUGUGUGUGUGUGUGUGUUUUGUGAAUAUAUCUGCACAGUAUUUUGCGUGUGUGUGUGUGUUCAUUUGGAUAUGUGUAAGUAUAACUAUAUUUACGUCUGUUUUUCUCUUUCAAUUGCAGGCUCAUUAUCUGGGAAUGACUUUAUUUUCCUGGUCAGACCUCAAUGUCAAGGCUGAGGAAACCUGAGAGGAGGCGAGCCGAUAAACCGCGCAGACCUGAAGCUGCAGAGAGGAGGUGACCUGUCAAGCAUAAGUAACAUUCAGGAAGUAUUCUGAAAGCAUUCUUUGAUUCACAACAAUUAAGGCACAAAGAAAUGAUGUCAGGUUAGGACUAAUGAAAAAAAAGUUAUUUUGUAUAUAGAUUAUCCAGUGAAAAACAGUCUUAAAUGGUUUUAAAAAACAACUGAACAUUUAAAAAGAAGUUAAUUAAAAUGUACUUCAGCAGUUUAAUUCAUUCUAAUCUUCAUGCUAGCAGGGACACAUCACAUCCUCACAAAAUCAUUGUGAUAGAGAUUUGAGUUGGUAAAGCCUUAGUGUUUAGCUAAAAAGAAAGACUAUGAUUUUAAUAAAAAAUCAAAUGUAUUAUUUAGGGCUGUCAAUCGAUUAAAAUUUUUUAUCUAAUUAAUUACAUAUUCUGUGAUUAA